GUUGAAGUCAGUAGUGCACGGUACCCAAACUGAACCACGAGAAAUCAGCUCUAUCCUUUCGAGUACCGACACGGUUUUAACAAUUCAGACCAGUAAGACGUUAAGGGGCGGACGACGAUAAAAUGUUUGAGUAACAGUAAGAAACUCGUAAAGUAAACCAACUAAACAAAGUGAAACCUUGAAGUAGAGCAGCUGUUGGAGAGCCAAGACAGAGUUCCAACAAUCAGACCAUCUCAAAUCCUUAUCUCACUAAUCAGCCUCAGCUUUAAAAGAAAAAGAUUCAUUCAAUCUAAAGCCUCUGCAGGAGACAAUAAUAUCUGAAACUAUGAACAGACACAAAUCUCACUAUCCCAGCCAUCUCAGAGGGAAACCAGGAACAAAUCUCACUAUCCCAGCCAUCUCAGAAGGAAACCAGGAACAAAUCUCACUAUCCCAGCCAUCUCAG